GAAAAAACAAUUCUCUCUCUUUCCAUUAGUCACCUCUUUUAAUUAUAAAUUGGAAUAAUAAAAAACAAAAUUAAAUGGGAAUUAAAGUGCUAUCAUGACAAAUCAAACCUAAAACAAGCCUCAUUAUCAAACGAUCCUCCACUCUCUCGUGACUUUCUCUCUCCGUCGCUUCACUCUCUCCCUCUCUCGAUUUCAUGGCACACAACAACAAAAAUAACAUGCAAAAACCAAGCUCAAACGAAGAACAGAUCUCAAACGCGCACAAAGCAAAAAUCACGUAAAAAAUCAGAUGCCAUGGAUUCGGUUCAACACAGAAGAAUAAAAGUUGCAGCAAAGCAUAAUAGAUGAUAAAAAGGAAACUCAUAGAAGAAGGUAGACGCAAAUGGUUUACCAAAUCAAAAGUUCUGAAAAUCUCCGGGUUGGCGAGAUCUUUCGAAUUCCAACAAAGGCCUUCUUCCGCAAGCGAUUCUUUAAUGAGGAAAUUUUGAACAAGUUUUCUUGGAAUUUUGCAGAGAGUUUUGGGAUUUGGAUUUCGGUCGAAAUUUGUGCAGAAUGACGACUGGGUUACAACGUGAAGUGACUUGAUGGAAUGGAAGGUUGGAUCCACUCUAUGAGGCAAUUGGAUUUAGGAGCGUUUUGGCCUGAAGAAAGGUUUUGGCCGUUGGUUCUUCAAAAGCUUUGUUCUCAACCUGUCAUUGUUGCAGCACCUUUUAUUUGGAUUUGUAUUGUGGAUAAUUA